rnacentral:rRNA from 1 species
AACGAACGCUGGCGGCAUGCCUAACACAUGCAAGUCGAACGAGACCUUCGGGUCUAGUGGCGCACGGGUGCGUAACGCGUGGGAAUCUGCCCUUGGGUUCGGAAUAACAGUUGGAAACGACUGCUAAUACCGGAUGAUGACGUAAGUCCAAAGAUUUAUCGCCCAAGGAUGAGCCCGCGUAGGAUUAGCUAGUUGGUGAGGUAAAGGCUCACCAAGGCGACGAUCCUUAGCUGGUCUGAGAGGAUGAUCAGCCACACUGGGACUGAGAUACGGCCCAGACUCCUACGGGAGGCAGCAGUGGGGAAUAUUGGACAAUGGGCGAAAGCCUGAUCCAGCAAUGCCGCGUGAGUGAUGAAGGCCUUAGGGUUGUAAAGCUCUUUUACCCGGGAUGAUAAUGACAGUACCGGGAGAAUAAGCUCCGGCUAACUCCGUG